GGAUGCGAUCAUACAAGCAGUAAAGCACCGGAUCCCAUCAGAACUCCGAAGUUAAGCAUGCUUGGGCAAGAGUAGUACUAGGAUGGGUGACCUCCUGGGAAGUCCUCGUGUUGCAUUCC
rfam:Triticum aestivum genome assembly, contig: Triticum_aestivum_CS42_TGACv1_scaffold_399778_5AS